CGGGAAACCGGAGCUAAUACGAUAAUAUUUCGAACCGCAUGGUUCGAUAGUGAAAGAUGGUUUUGCUAUCACUUAUAGAUGGACCCGCGCCGUAUUAGCUAGUUGGUAAGGUAACGGCUUACCAAGGCGACGAUACGUAGCCGACCUGAGAGGGUGAUCGGCCACACUGGAACUGAGACACGGUCCAGACUCCUACGGGAGGCAGCAGAG
rnacentral:rRNA from 1 species